GGUUGUUCGAGACUAGAACGUUGAUAGGCAGGGUGUGUAAGCGUUGUGAGGCGUUGAGCUAACCUGUACUAAUUGCCCGUGAGGCUUAACCAUACAACACCCAAAGGGUUUUG
rnacentral:rRNA from 1 species